CUCUUUCCCCUCUUGCCCCUCUCCAGCUUUUCUGGUCCAACCCUCUUCUGCGCCUAACACUGGCACCUCCUUUUCUUCCGGCUGAUGAAUAAUUGUCCGCAAACCAGCCUCUCUGGGGCACUGAGGGGCGGGAAGGUUAGAAGGAGCCAGGGCUAGAGUCCUGGAAGGUGGCAGUCAGGUCGCAGGGCCACAGCAGUCACUCUGCGACUCUCUCUUCCGGUGUUUCUCCAGCGCCAAGCGGGAGAAGACGGAGCCUGGGAGCUGGGACUGGAGGAGCGGGAAGCGCAGUAUCGGGACCACGGCUCUGGGACCAGGAAAAACGCAGACUCUCCAGAGUCAAUGUCUACUUCAGCCAGCUCAAGGGCGCGACAACCUGGCGCCGAGCAUCUCAGGCCGCCGCGGGGACCCCCCCUAAGGGACUCGGGAACACCUGCCUACCCUAGAAGAGGCGGAGAAUAACCCCGUAGGGAGUUAAGCGGCCUCUGCCUACAGCGUUCCUCCCGCCUCCACGGCGCCGAGCCCUGAUUGACGUUCAGCCAGGCCAAUCAUAGCCUGUGUCUGAGGCGCGCGGAGCUGGAGCGCCCAGGGCAUGUCCGCCGAUCCCAAGGAGGCAAUCUGUCAGGCGCCGCCCGGGCGGCAGUAUGCCUGAGGGGGUCCUCCGUGUUCGCGCCUCCCGCCGCCUGCACUGAAAGGUCUGUACCUGAGCCUGGAUACUUGAACAGAGGCAGACACUGCGGCUCAAAACCCCAAGGAAUAUCCUAGCUCUGAGACAAAAAUUGGGAACCUCAGCAUGAGUUUGUCACCUGAAUGAAAUAAAAAAAAUCACGUUGAAGGCUGGUGCAGUAACAUGUGCCUGUAGUCCCAGCUACUCUGGAGGCUGAGUCAGGAGGAUCACUUGAGACCAGAAGUUCAGGAAUUCAAGACUGGCUUGAGCAACAUAGCAAGACUUCAUUUCAAAACAAACAGAAAAAAGCCACCACCUUCAGUAUUUCUUGCCAAAGCAAAGGAGCCAUUUGUUCUUUACGAUGGUCAGGAAAGGAAGCAUCAAGGUCAUCAAAUGAAAAAUUUUCAGCAUUUCAGCCUCUCUGCUCAGGGAAAUAUCUGAAUCUAGAAUAUCACAACAUGAGCCAAAACCGCCCCAUUUCUCAUGCCACAUGUCACUCUUAACACAAGGUUACUCAACCUCGAGCAUGGUUGGCAUUUGGGGCUGAAUAAUUCUUUUUUGUAGGGGGCUGUCCUGGGCAUUGUAGGAUGCUCAUGAGCUACCUCAGUCUCUACCACCCACUAGAUGCCAGUAGCAUUGACCCCUGAUCUCUCUACCCAAGUUGUGACAACUAAAACCAUCUCUGGAUAAUGGAGGAACCUUAAAUGCAUAUUGCUAAGGAAAAGCCAAUCUGAAAGGAUUACAUAUUGUAUGAGUCCAACUAUAUGGUAAUCUGGAAAAGGCAAAACCAUGGAGACAGUGAAAAGGUAGUGGUUACCAGUGGUCCAUGGGAAGGGUUGGAUGAAUAGGUGGAGCACAGAGGAUUUUUAAGGCAGUGAAACUAUUCUGAAUGAUACUGUAAUGGUGGAUACAUGUCAUACCUUUGUCAAAACCAAUAAAAUAUAACAACCAAUAAAACUGCACAAAGAGUGAACCCUAAUGUAAACUAUGGACUUAAUAAUGUAUCAAUAUUGGCUCACCAAUUUUAACAAAUGUACCACACUAAUGCAAGAUGUUACUAAUAGUGGAAACUGGAGGGAAGAGGGCUUGAGGGGACAUACGGGAACUCUCUGUAAUUCCUGUUCAGUUUUUCUGUAACUGUUAAACUGUCCAAAAAAAGUCUGUUUUUAUAAAUGGAGGCAUGGUUUUAUAUGGACUAAAAUACUAUGAUUGCCUUUUUAUUUUACACAUGGUGAAAUUAGAGCAGGACAUAUUUUAAACUCAAAAUUCACAAAAUUAAUUUAUGAAAAUGUUUACCCAGAUCAAGAAUAUUAAAGAAACUUAGAUUAAUAUUGUUACCUUGAAUUUAUUUUACUGAGUAAUCCUCUAAGACUCCUCUACACAUUAUUAAUCUAGAAGGAUUUUUAAAGUCUUUAUGACAAUUAAUUAUUGGUCUACAGUCAAAUUGCGUAUCCCCAUUAACUAGAGUUAUAUUUUUCCAUUUUCUGAUCCAAAAACUUUAGGAACAGGAAAUGUUUAUUUUAGAAAACAAGAACACUUCUUAAGCAUUUGCUGUUAACAGUUAUUUUCACAUGUGCUUGUACUUAUUUUACACUUGUCAGAACAUAGUAUUUACCUUUGAACCAAGGUUUUAUAAUAAGCAAGCACUUUUUUUAUUUAGAAGUCACAUUUUCCAAGUAGAAAAAUCAUUAAAAAUUCAGUCCUCUGAAGGCUAAUUUCUUUAAAUCAUUUAACCUAAUUGUUUAAGGUAUAGAUUGGAAUUUUUCUCAGCACUCUCUUGAAAACAGGUGACAGUGGAACCCUGUUAGGUUCACAAAUCCUAGACUUUGAUUAUAUAGCCCAGGCUCAAAUUUUUCUCGAAUGUUACGAACAUUCAAAGCAUUAGGAGUCUUGGUUUCAUUUCUUAAUUUUUUUUCUUCUGGGUAUAUUUGAGACUCAUCUUGGAUUCAAAUAAAUUAAUAAUAGUCUCAUGAAACCGAUAAAAAUGGGAGCUCCAUUGAACAUGAGAGACAUUGAUUCGUAGUUUCUAACAUCCUCCAAAUGAGGAGCCCAUCCCUAAUUUAGAUGCUUCUUUCAAAGGAGGCUCCUUUCCUUCGUUAUCCAUAAUAUAGUCACACCAGUCCUGAAAAAACAUGGAACAGACUCCAGAUCUUUAUAUUUCAUACUCUAAAGUCGUACAAGCCAAUCUGCAUUUCCUCUAGUGGAAACUGUAUAGCUGGUCAUCUUUCCAGGACCCUUUUAUCAAGAAACAAUGCAGCUUCUACAUUUGUGCUGCUUCUACACCAAAACAGCUGGAAUGUAUAUAGUAUGGUUCUGGAUGCUCUUGUAUACCUCACUCUUCAUUUCUCACCUAACCCAUGUGCUAUGAUUUGAAUGUUUCUCCCCUGCAAAACUCAUGUUGAAAUGUAAUUGCCAUGAUAACAGUAUUAAUAGGUGGAAUAUUUAAGAGGUGAUUAGGGUGGGAUUGGUGAUGUUAUAAAAGGGUAAGUUCAGCCCCUUCUUGCUCUCUCUGUCACCCUUCCACCUUCCUCUGUGUGAUGAUGCAACAAAAAAGCCCUUCCCAGAUGCCAGCAUCUUGAUUUUGGACUUCUCAGCCUACAGAACUAUAAGCCAAUAAAUUUCUGUUAUUUGUUAUUAGUCUGUGAUAUUCUGUUACAGUAGCACAAAAUGGACUAUGACACCAUGUGUUUACACAGAAAGAAAAAAAUAUCAUACGGUAAUUGCUCCUAAAUAUGCAGAGAAUAUGUUCUGAUAUCCUUAGUGGAUGCCUGAAACUGCAGAUAGUACCAAACCUUAUAUAUACUAUGUUUUUUUUCCCAUACAUAUGCAUGUUAAAGUUUAUAAGUUAGGCAGAGUAAGAUAUGAACAAUAACUAAUAAUGAAAUAGAAACGUAACGAUGUGCUGUAAUAAAAGUUAUGUGACUGAC
rnacentral:lncRNA from 1 species